rnacentral:rRNA from 1 species
GAUGAACGCUAGCUACAGGCUUAACACAUGCAAGUCGAGGGGCCGGCGCACGGGUGAGUAACACGUAUCCAACCUGCCCUUUACUCUGGGAUAGCCUUUCGCAAGAAAGAUUAAUACCCGAUGUAAAGGAUGGGGAGGCGUUCCAUUAGGUUGUUGGUGAGGUAACGGCUCACCAAGCCUUCGAUGGAUAGGGGUUCUGAGAGGAAGGGCCCCCGUAUUUGAACUGAGACACUGACCAAACUGCGACGGGAGGCAGCAGUAAGGACUACUGGUGAAGCGGCGUUAGCCUUAACCAGCCAAGUAGCGGGAAGGUUGAGGGCUUAUGCGUAUUAAAGUUCUCUUAUAGCAGACCAGGCACUAUAUGAAGAAGGAUCGGCUAACUCCGUGCCAGCAGCCGCGGUAAUAC